UACAGAGGUCCCGAGCGUUGUUCGGAUUCACUGGGCGUAAAGGGUGCGUAGGCGGUCGGGUAAGUCUGAUGUGAAAUCUCACAGCUAAACUGUGAAACUGCAUUGGAUACUAUUCGGCUUGAGAGUUGGAGGGGGGACUGGAAUUCUUGGUGUAGCAGUGAAAUGCGUAGAUAUCAAGAGGAACACCAGUGGCGAAGGCGAGUCCCUGGACAACUUCUGACGCUGAGGCACGAAAGCUAGGGGAGCAAACAGG
rnacentral:rRNA from 1 species